rnacentral:misc_RNA from 1 species
GUCAUUUGUCUUAACAAAAUUUGAAACUUGAUAUUCUUGCAUACUGAUAUUUAAUUUUGUUGCUGAACUUUAAUUGCAACAAUGCUAUUUCCUAACGGUGUGACUAGCUUACAGCUUGAUGCUAGGACUUCCGAAAUUUGAGACAAUGAACCAUGAAGCCAAUAGUUGAGUUCUUGGCUAAAUGGUUUUUAGCAGUUACUUAAUGUAAGGAUGUAAAGUGUGUCCUGGUAGCAGUAAUGGCAUUAGCAGCAGUACA